AAAAUCUGUCAGAGAGCGAUCGCAGUGUCAUGUCACGUUAUUUUUUGACAAGUAGCAUCUUUGAGCUGAUUACUGUCAAAUUUUGAGCGGAAUUCAUCACGUGGUUUCAUUUCUGUAGACGAAUAAAGCGAACAACCUUUGUAUUUUUUGCAAAAUAACAAGUUUCGUAUAGUGAUCAAACACCUAUAUAUGAAAGUUUUAACGCCGAAAAAAAUCAAAGCCGAGUUGGAUAAUGUUCAUAGCACAUCUGCACCAGCGUUUGCGACUGUACACAAUUAGAUAAAUAAAUUUAAAUGUAGUCGUACAUCCACAUGCCAUGUAUGUACACUCAUUCGGGACGUCCAAUUGAGGCUGCUACGCCAGAAAUCAUCGAUAAAGUCCACGAUAUUGUUUUGACUGAUCGACGAAUGAAAGUGCGCCAGCUUGUUGAGGCCACAGGCAUAUCACAUGGCACAGUAAUUUCAAUUUUGUACGAACAAUUGGGUAUGAAAAAGCUAUCGGCGAGAUAGGUGCCGCGUUUGCUCACUGUAGACCAUAAGCGCGAUCCUGAAUCUGAUGGCCAAAUUCAAUGAAUUCCGCUACGAAUUGCUUUCCUAUCUAGCAUAUUCGUCAGAUUUAGCCCCCUGCGACUAUUUCCUGUUUCCACACCUGAAGAAAUGGUUCGGAAAAAAAAGGUUCACCACCAAAAAGCAGCUCAUCGCCGAAACAAAAGCUUAUUUUGAAGGUUGGACAAAUCAUAUUAUUCGGACGGCUUGAAAAAGUUGGAGAAUCGUUGGAUCAAGUCCGCAAAAGGAUUCGAGAAUUGUGACAAUCUCUAUUAUCUAUAUUCUGCAGAUAAAAACAGAUCUAGCUGUUCUUUACACAUAUAAAGGUAUACAGAUUAUAACUGUCACAGUGCAUGGGAUACAGCAUAGUGUCAAUGGAACCGAAAUAAGGCACUGAUGUUAUAUGAAAGAAAUGAAAGAACAGAUUUUUUUUUAACUGACUGAGAAGAUUACAUGUAUUCUAUAACAUGUUUUAAUUCUUAACGUCAUUUUUAUGAUAUCAGUACAAUUGAUUAAUAUACACUGUAUAAAUAACUUUAUUUACAUUAUCAGAAUUAUCUUUACUUUAGUUUUCUUAUAAGUUACUUUAAAAGAAUAUUUUAGAGCACAUUAUGUAACAAAGAGUUCGAAUGUUUUAUAUCAUAUUUAUGUUAAGUUACUUUACAUAGGAUUUUAUGUUAAGAAAUACAUAUACAUUUAUAAUUAAAAUUUGAAAAAAUAUUAUAAGAUAAUUUUGGUAAUUAA